AUUUUUAUUUUGUUAAGGAGAAAGGGACGCCUUGAUUGUCGUAUUGAUUUUGUUUUCUUUUUGUUCCAACAGAUGGAAACUGAUGAAGAGCUGGAAGGAGUUUAAUGAUGAGUAGACAUUACAACAUUUCUUAUAUUUUCAAGAUGAAGCUGAAAGUCCCAUGCAGGAUGAUGCUUCUCUACAGUGGAUGAUGAAAGCAUGCUGAUUACAAACCCAGGAGAGGAAUAAAGAACAGAUAUUGACAGAAUCAUAUCUAGAGAUGUGGGCCUACUGCACUCCAUACAAGCAAGUGUGCUAAUAUACCAUACUUGGGUUAUCAUCACAGCCCUUUCUUCUGAAAACUAGCCUACAACUUCAUCGAUGAAUGCAGAAGACAUCUACAUGGGACUACGUCUUAAAGAUGCCC
rnacentral:lncRNA from 1 species